GGCCGCGUGGCGGAAUGGCAGACGCUGGGGACUUAAAAUCCCCUGAAGGGCAACCUUCGUGUGGGUUCGACCCCCACCGCGGCCACCA
rnacentral:tRNA from 1 species